UACGUAGGGUGCGAGCGUUAAUCGGAAUUACUGGGCGUAAAGCGUGCGCAGGCGUUGAGCUGUGUCCGAUGUGAAAGCCCCGGGCUUAACCUGGGAAUGGCAUUGGAAACUGGCUCGCUGGAGUGUGGCAGAGGGGGGUGGAAUUCCGCGUGUAGCAGUGAAAUGCGUAGAGAUGCGGAGGAACACCGAUGGCGAAGGCAGCCCCCUGGGCUAACACUGACGCUCAGGCACGAAAGCGUGGGGAGCAAACAGG
rnacentral:rRNA from 1 species